GUGAGGAAUAUUGGACAAUGGGCGAGAGCCUGAUCCAGCCAUGCCGCGUGCAGGAAGACGGCCCUAUGGGUUGUAAACUGCUUUUACAGAGGAAGAAACACCCCGACGUGUCGGGACUUGACGGUACUCUGCGAAUAAGGAUCGGCUAACUCCGUGCCAGCAGCCGCGGUAAUACGGAGGAUCCAAGCGUUAUCCGGAAUCAUUGGGUUUAAAGGGUCCGUAGGCGGGACAAUCAGUCAGCGGUGAAAGUCUGUGGCUCAACCAUAGAAUUGCCAUUGAUACUGUUGUUCUUGAAUACUUAUGAAGUGGUUGGAAUAUGUAGUGUAGCGGUGAAAUGCAUAGAUAUUACAUAGAACACCGAUUGCGAAGGCAGAUCACUAAUAAUUUAUUGACGCUGAUGGACGAAAGCGUAGGUAGCGAACAGGAUUAGAAACCCUAGUAGUCC
rnacentral:rRNA from 1 species